rnacentral:rRNA from 1 species
AGUAAAUUGGUUAAGUUAGAAAGGGCGCACGGUGGAUGCCUUGGCACUAGGAGCCGAAGAAGGACGGGACUAACACCGAUAUGCUUUGGGGAGCUGUACGUAAGCGUUGAUCCAGAGAUUUCCGAAUGGGGGAACCCACUAUCUUUAGUCGGAUAGUAUCCUUACGUGAAUACAUAGCGUAAGGAAGGCAGACCCAGGGAACUGAAACAUCUAAGUACCUGGAGGAAGAGAAAGAAAAAUCGAUUUCCUGAGUAGCGGCGAGCGAAACGGAAAGAGCCCAAACCAAGAAGCUUGCUUCUUGGGGUUGUAGGACACU